rnacentral:rRNA from 1 species
AUCAGGUAGGGAUACCCGCUGAACUUAAGCAUAUCAAUAAGCGGAGGAAAAGAAACCAACAGGGAUUGCCCCAGUAACGGCGAGUGAAGCGGCAAGAGCUCAAAUUUGAAAGCUGGCUCCUUCGGGGUCCGCAUUGUAAUUUGCAGAGGAUGCUUCGGGAGCGGUCCCCAUCUAAGUGCCCUGGAACGGGACGUCAUAGAGGGUGAGAAUCCCGUAUGGGAUGGGGUGUCCGCGCCCGUGUGAAGCUCCUUCGACGAGUCGAGUUGUUUGGGAAUGCAGCUCUAAAUGGGUGGUAAAUUUCAUCUAAAGCUAAAUAUUGGCCGGAGACCGAUAGCGCACAAGUAGAGUGAUCGAAAGAUGAAAAGCACUUUGAAAAGAGAGUUAAAAAGCACGUGAAAUUGUUGAAAGGGAAGCGCUUGCGACCAGACUCGCUCGCGGGGUUCAGCCGGCAUUCGUGCCGGUGUAUUUCCCCGCGGGCGGGCCAGCGUCGGUUUGGGCGGUCGGUCAAAGGCCCUCGGAAGGUAACGCCCCUAGGGGCGUCUUAUAGCCGAGGGUGCAAUGCGACCUGCCUAGACCGAGGAACGCGCUUCGGCUCGGACGCUGGCAUAAUGGUCGUAAGCGACC